AUGCGAUACUAGGAAGGAAGACUGGGAAGGGCCCACCAGCGUGAAUGAGAGGUUUACACAGUGGUAUCAGUCAGCGCCUGGAAGUCCACAUUCCCACCCUGUGUGACAGCGGUUCCUAAGACGGACGGCCUUCCCGCCCCUCAUCCUGGUCCAGCGAGAUGCUGAAGAAGUCAGGCUCACAGAGCCCCAUUGUGGUGUGUCAGAACCCACAGAAAAUGUUCCUCCUGUGCAUUAUUUAUGACUUUCCUGCAUUUAUAUAGUAUCCAGCUUCCUGAAAGUAAUUUGUUUUGGAUUGUGUAGUGCCGGGCAGCACAUCAAAGGAACAAAGCCUUCUGGGAAGGCUAUGAAGAUCUUCAAGCCCACUUGGACAGAAUUCUGUAGACCUCCUGAUUGAACCAAUGGCAACCAUGGCAACCACGGGACCAGUUUUAAAGUGGUGCCAAGGUGCUAGGUUAACAAAGAGAAUCUCUCAAGACUGGACAUUUAGGCUGCACUUGCUGGUUAUAAUUUAAAUAUUUCUCAAUAAAAGCAUUUCCCAUUUUAAGA